AGCGCAGGCGGGAGAACAAGUUGGAAGUGAAAUCCAUGGGCUCAACCCAUGAACUGCUUUCAAAACUGUUUUUCUUGAGUAGUGCAGAGGUAGGCGGAAUUCCUAGUGUAGCGGUGAAAUGCGUAGAUAUUAGGAGGAACACCAGUGGCGAAGGCGGCCUGCUGGGCUUUAACUGACGCUGAGGCUCGAAAGCGUGGGGAGCAAACA
rnacentral:rRNA from 1 species